rnacentral:rRNA from 1 species
UAAAAUUAAAAAAUUUGGCGGUAUUUUAGUCUAUUCAGAGGAACCUGUCCUGUAAUUGAUAGUCCACGAUUAAUUAUACCUUGCUUUAAAAAUUUAUAUAUCGUCGUAGUUUGAAUAUUUUAAUAGAAUUAAUAAAUAUUCAAAAUUUAAUAUUAUAAAGUAAAUCAGAUCAAGGUGUAGUUUAUAGGUAAGAAGAGAUGGGUUACAUUUUUAUUAUUAGUGGAUGAGUUUAUGAAAUUAGACUUUGAAAAUGGAUUUGAAAGUAAUUUUAAAUAUUUAUUUAAAAUGAUUUUAGCUCUAAAAUAUGUACAUAUUGCCCGUCGCUUUCGUUUUAAGAUGAGAUAAGUCGUAACAAAGUAGACUUACCGGAAGGUGAGUCUAGAAGA